GUGGAGCUGCAGCCUCAGUAUUGAUUGGAAAUUCUUGAACUUGGUAUUAUGCGCCUCUGAUAUGUGUCCCUCGUCUUUGUUGUUAGCCGAUGACAGCUCCCCAUCUGUUUUACUAGGAGAGUUGCUAACCGAGGGCUUCCUGCCCACUGCCUUUCUUCCUACUGACCGGUGUGUGUGUGCCGCCUCCCUCCCUUCCUUCCCUGUACUUCUAGUUCUGUAUUUCCUGAUCCCAGCUAUGCUCUCUAAAGGUUCUGUUUUUCACUUCCAGGGCUCUGCAGGCUCUCUCCAUUGCGUAGCUCUCUCUACACAGCCUAUCAAAGGACUUUCAAGAUUAAAACAAAACUGUCACAUCCAUGUCAUAGACCUAUUCCCUUCCCCAU
rnacentral:lncRNA from 1 species